ensembl:lncRNA
GACGUAGCUGUGUACCCUAGGGCAUUGCCUGAGCAUUAUCCCACCUUGGACAACAAAGCCAAAAAAGUAGACUUAUGUGGUGGCUCUGUUUGAUAAAAAGUUUAAUUUUUUUCAUUUCAUAGUAUACAAAUCCUUAUAGUUUAUGUCAUCCAGUAAAUACUUUGACUGAUUCUCGCUCAAUCACUUUUUCACUCACUCACUUUUUUACUCACUCACUCACUCACUCACUCACUCAUUCAUUCUGUAACCUAAAUGAUGCAUUUAGAGUAAAUACACUGACAAGCCAAAUGUCAAUGCCAAAUUAAACAGAAACUAAUAUAAUAUCCCAUGACAUUUGCCAUCUGGCACCCACUAUCAGCUUUGUAUCAAACUCCAAUCAUUUCUGUCAUCUUGCCAUGAGCACAUCUACCAGUGUUCACCCUCACUCACAACACCUCAAAGCAUACACAAUUGUGGGCAUAUUUUCCCCAAGUCUUCCCCUGAGGUUUUAUUUUAUUUUAUAAUGAUUAGGAAAUCCCAUGACUUUUGGCAUGUCAGCGUAGAACACUACUAGAGCUGGAUCAUUAAUUACAAGGGUGUAGAGAACAAUUAAUAAAGGUGGAUUUUAUUAUUAUUAAUAAUAGUAUCUCUUCAAUUAACAUUGCAGGUACUGAAUAAAAAAGAGAAGAAUCCAAAAACAGGAGACAAACAGAACCUUAAUCUUUAGUGUCAGAGUUGUGAAAGUGCCAGGGAUUAAAUCUGUGCUAUAUAUUAUUAUUAUCAUCAUCAUCGUCUUCGUCAUCAUCAUCAUCGUCUUCGUCAUUAUCAUUAGCCUCAUCCAUUUUGAUCACUUUUAUCAUAAAUGUUCAUGAAACAACUUGCCACCGACUCAGAAAAAUGCAAACAUUGGUAUUUUAUGAAUGUGGCUAGAUUGUCUUCAUCUUAUUACGUUUCAAUUUUUUUUUUGAUAUAUACACAAUGUUACAAGAAACAAAAACAAAGAAAAAUGCCAACAAAACAAAUGAAAAUAAUCUGACUGGUGCAUUCCUAAAACCGACAGCCUUCUGCCGUACUUUUUUUUUUUUUUUGCCAGCUGAGCGUUUGACAACUUUUGACUUUAUCUGGCAGAGCAGUAACUCCGAGCAGACAGAGCGCAGAGAGACGUCUCGCUCCGGGAGAAAAUACCCAAGACAGAUCCGGCAAAGUUUACUGUUUUUCCCCCUGAAAGGAGAAUGGACCUGGUCUUGAUUAGCAUCGACAUCAGAGCUACUUUCAGGAGAAGCAGCUACACAGCUGCUGAACCACAGGUCCACUACAGUCCUACAUCUUCCAAUACGUCUCGUCGUCAAAGACUGACCACUGACCACUUCACCACUUUAAGUCAUGAGGUAAAACGUACCCAGUUCUUUCCUACCGUAAAAUCAGCUGCUAUUCCACACUGAAGAUGUGGCCUAGAAAAAUAGAGAUGGCAUGGCAGUACGUUACUUACUAGAGGAAGUGAGUGCAUAUAUCUGAUGCAGUGCCGCUCUCACAAAAAAAGAUCGGUGGCACCUUGUCACGGGACAGCAGGGAGGCACUGAAGAGGAGGUUAACAGGUUUUAAUAAUAUGAAGCGAAAAAACAAACAAAAAAAAGAGAAUCAAAUUAUGAAGCAAUUAUUCAAUUAUUCCGAGUUAUGGGUUUGGUUUAAUGAGAAGCACUUGUGUCAGUCGUGAAAUGUCUGUAAAUAUAUAUUUAUAUGUAUAUAUAUAUAGAUAUUUAUAUUAUAAAUCGAAUACAUAUCUAGUUGCUAUGCACACUCAGAAAUGACACUGUCAUCAUGGGUAAGAUAAUCCUAAAAACACAAAUAUACUCUUUCCCCUUCCCCCAACCAUGAUUUAAGACUUUUUGACAGAAACAUUAAAAAUAUUCUUGUUUUUUUUUGUUGUACCCCUUUCGAAAUUAAAGGUAGGACAUUAUGCAAAUAACUCACUCUACAUCUCUCAUUAGUGGAAUGAAAUGUGACUAAGUAUGUCUUUCCAAGCAAAUUCUUUUGUUACAAAAAUAUACUUCUUUCUUUUAAAAUAAUAUACAGAUUUUUUUUUCUUAUGAUGAAAGUUUUCACUAUCAAGCUAAACAGCAAAGCUGUUUUUUUUUCUUUUUAAUAGAAAGUAUCUAUUUCAUGAGAGAGAGAGCAAGACAUAGACCCUGUUCACACCUAGUCAUUUUAUGGUUCUUGAGAUGUAAUAGGAUUGGAUCUGAAUAAGGUUAAACCACAUUAAAAUGCACCCAAAGUGUGAACGCACCCAAGACGCAUUUGCUGUAUUUUUUGCGUUAUAAGGCGCACUUAAAAUCGUAAACUCCGCAGAAGUACAGCUUUAUAAAGGAGUUUUAGUGAAGUUUCUCCAGCACCAAGGCUGGAGCAGUAUUAGCAUUAGCCACUAAACGCAGUGCUAGGUGAGUAUAUCAGAUUGUUGUCUGUGUGUUUACCAUGUUAAAACAAGCUACGUGGGGCGAAACGCUAGCUGAUCGCACCCUGGGUCACAGGAACACUCAGGGUUCCUCUGUCAGGGAGCAUUUACUAGCACUAAGUGCUGAUGCUAACCGCGGCUAGCGCUGCUGCUAACAGCACUGUUGAAAAUAUUGGAAAUCUAAGCUUACUGUAAAUAAAGGAAGCGCUUUACUCA